rnacentral:lncRNA from 1 species
UAAUCCCCAGAAGAGGGAAUUGUAUAUUUUUAAAGACAGUUUCAUUUUUAUUCUCAAGAUUUGCUGCAGAAAGGUACUGGUCACUCCAGGAAACCACCUGCCCUGCUCCCCUCACCCCACCAUGACUUUACCCGCCCAGAUGCCAUCUAGAUCCACGAUCUGAGACGUGAAUUGUUUUCUGAAAGCUUUUUGCAAGCAACUGUAACCUUACUGAGCUUCAGCUUUAUUUCUUAGGAUGUUAUUGUUUGGACAUGGCCUAAUUUUAAAUACUUGACCCUAGUGGAUCCAUUCAUUGUUUCCAUUAGUGGGAAAGUUAAGUGACCAGAAUGGCAUAAGUAAUAUUGAUAAUGAACAUGAUGACAGUACCAUGUAAACAACAUUCUUAAGGUCAAAUAUGCAGCAACUGUACAUAUUUAAAUUGAUACGUUUUCACACACACACAACACACACACACCUCUGAAGCCAUCACCAACAUCAAAGUUAUUAACAUAUCUGUCAUCCCCCAAUUU